rnacentral:rRNA from 1 species
UACGAAGGGGGGCGAGCGUUGUUCGGAAUUACUGGGCGUAAAGCGCGUGUAGGCGGCUUGGCAAGUUGGAUGUGAAAGCCCACGGCUCAACCGUGGAAGCGCAUCCAAAACUGCUUCGCUCGAGUCUCGGAGAGGAAGGUGGAAUGCUUGGUGUAGAGGUGAAAUGCGUAGAGAUCAGGAGGAACACCCAUGGCGAAGGCAGCUCUCUGGUCGACAUCUGACGCUGAGACGCGAAAGCGUGGGGAGCGAACGGG